AAAGGGCGCAAGAGGACAGAGACUUCCGUCUCUCCCCUGGAGGGAACCAGCAGGAGGACGCUGCCAUGGCGCCCUGCCAGGGGGAAAAGCCAGUGCGCUCGCCCGCUCGAACAAACAGAAGACUCUGAAUUGUCCUGAAUAAAUAUUGUACAACUUAACGGUCAAAUGGUGUUCAGUGUCUUCAUUAUUCCUUUUACUUAUUAUCUGUGUGGUAAAAGUAGAUUCAGUGGGGACAAAAAUGAGCCCUGUCUUCUUAGUUCAACGCUGUAUGCCUGCUGCGUCCAGGUUCUGCCUUGGCUACGUUCCGAUUGGGACAGAUUAGCCCUAACUUGUGUGUUAAAAGUGUCACGUGGGAUGCCCUCGUCCAGGUUCUGCCUUGGCUACGUUCCAAUUGGGACAAACUAUCCCUGCCUUGUGUGUUAAAAGUGACUCGCGGGACGCCCCCGUCCAGGUUCAGCCUUGGUUGAUAGCUCAUAGGGAGAAUGAAUCCCUUUUGCAGCACAAGGAGGUGGUGGGCUGAACAAAUCUGUCCAGGUCUGCAAAUGCUUUGAACGCCCAGAAGGCCUUGAGUCCAAUUCUGUAUAUUAGCAAGCUUCUCCCGGGACAGCUCGGUCCUUAGAGAUGCAUGAAUAGGUCAGGACAGGGCAGCUGUGGAGUGGAGGUUAACUUUAUGGAGGAGGUUGAAAUCAGGGGCCGGGCGAUUUACUUCUAAAAGGAAAGUGAAAUUGUGUGCCACGAGAAAUAGAGCUGGAAAGCUUAACUUGUCGAUUUUAGGUGAAAAAUCGAAAUCUGUUGGAGACGUCCGACAGAUUAAUAGGUACCGACAAAGUCCAGGGGAAGAUUUUUGCCAGCAUGGGGACGUCUCAAAACAAAGUACGAAGAUAUGAUAGACCGGUGUUUUGGAAUAUGGGAAAAAAUUAUAUGGAAAAA